UACAGGGGGGGCAAGCGUUGUUCGGAAUUACUGGGCGUAAAGGGCUCGUAGGCGGUCAACUAAGUCCGACGUGAAAUCCCAAGGCUUAACUUUGGAACUGCGUCGGAUACUGGAUGGCUUGAAUUCGGGAGAGGGAUGCAGAAUUCCAGGUGUAGCGGUGAAAUGCGUAGAUAUCUGGAGGAACACCGGUGGCGAAGGCGGCAUCCUGGACCGAGAUCGACGCUGAGGCGCGAAAGCUAGGGGAGCAAACGGG
rnacentral:rRNA from 1 species